GCAUCUGGCUGUAAAGUUCCACUAGGAGCUGGCUCAUUCCUGACAGAUAUUGGGCUAGUUGAAGCCGCCCAUGACUACUAUAUCCUUUUUGAAUGUUUGGUCAUCUGCUCUUGAAAGGCAGCACCUAAUUCUCCAGUCUAGCUUGAAAGUCUAAAUCAGACUCCCACAGUAAGGUCAUGGUUAGUUCCCUGUCUUAUGAUCUGUGACCAAAGGCAGAAAUAUUACUAAUAUUUUCUCCUUAGUGCUGAAUCUUCUCUUUAUACCUAGGCUGUGCCUCGCUCAAGAUGCACAGAAAGCUGUCUCCCGGGAUAUGCCAAGAAGAUUCAGGAAGGAAAACCAGUGUGCUGCUAUGAUUGUGCUCCUUGCUCAGAAGGGACAAUCUCCACUGUGGAAGGUAGGAGAGGAUCUCAGAGGAUUUAAAGGCCUUUGAUGGGAGGAUGGGGCAAAUGUUUGAGCCAACCCAAACAUGAUGCUACCAAUGACACCCCAUAAAUGAAAUGCCAUCCCCAGAGAGGUUUCACCUGUUGCCAGCCUGCAAUGUUUCCCCAGAAGCAGGAAAAUUUAUUUGCCCACCAGCUCACACAUGUAGAAUCAUUCUGGAUUAUUAUUAUUUUUUAAAUCACCUCCAAUGUUGCAGGGAGUCAUGUCAGUGAAUCUGGUCCUGGGAGCUAUUUUGAUGGGUGAGGGACAAGUGCACAAGACAGUCAGUAUUGGGUUCACCAAAUGUGUGACCUCAGGAGGCUUAUUGGUCUGCCAUGGAGUCAGUCGGCACUAUUGCCAGUGAGAGGACCUGCCUAUUUCUCAGAGGUCUCCAGCAGUUCAGGAAUGGUGGUGGUGAUGAAAAAUUAUCAAGUUCCUUGGAGGAAUAAGAUCCAAAUGUAAUAUGUGAUUUUUUAUAAUAAAAUAUAUAAUAUAAUGAAAUGAAGUUGGGCUUCACACAUAUGCUUCUCAAUACUGGGACAUGACAAGAAGC